rnacentral:misc_RNA from 1 species
UCAUUACCAGUUUUGAAUUCUGCAAGAUAUCGAUAAUAAUCUCCCUUCAUCUUAUAAAAGAACACUUUUGAUUCACCAGCAGAAGCCGAAGGGAUUAGAUGCUCAUCUAUUACGAUCAUGAUAUCAUUGCAGAUGUUUGUAAGCUCUGAUUCAACCUUCUGUCUAUACUCCUUGAUCCGCUUCACAUUAAAUUCAUUUCCUUUGGUUUCUUCCUUUUGUUCUAUGGAUGACAGAAUUCUCCAUGAUGCUCUCCUAGC